rnacentral:rRNA from 1 species
GAUGAACGCUGGCGGCGUGCCUAAUACAUGCAAGUCGAGCGAACAGAUAAGGAGCUUGCUCCUUUGACGUUAGCGGCGGACGGGUGAGUAACACGUGGGUAACCUACCUAUAAGACUGGAAUAACUCCGGGAAACCGGGGCUAAUGCCGGAUAACAUUUAGAACCGCAUGGUUCUAAAGUGAAAGAUGGUUUUGCUAUCACUUAUAGAUGGACCCGCGCCGUAUUAGCUAGUUGGUAAGGUAACGGCUUACCAAGGCAACGAUACGUAGCCGACCUGAGAGGGUGAUCGGCCACACUGGAACUGAGACACGGUCCAGACUCCUACGGGAGGCAGCAGUAGGGAAUCUUCCGCAAUGGGCGAAAGCCUGACGGAGCAACGCCGCGUGAGUGAUGAAGGUCUUCGGAUCGUAGAACUCUGUUAUUCGGGAAGAACAAAUGUGUAAGUAACUGUGCACGUCUUGACGGUACCUAAUCAGAAAGCCACGGCUAACUACGUG